UCACGUAGUAGCUCCCGCUCGCUUCAAAGCUCCAGCACCCAGCACCAUCCAUCUCCACCACCCGGUGCCGCCCAUCUCCACCGACCGGUGUCCCUUCUCCAUUGCCCAGCGCCACCACCCACCUCGCGCACGUGCCCACCAGUCAGUUUACCGCUUCCUGCUUGCCGCAACGGGCGAGUCCACAGCGAGCCUCGCCGGCUUCAUCCGCCACGUUGCCAUCUCCUCUGGCCGGGGAGCUCGUCUCGAUCGGAGAAGCCCAGAUCUCCGCAGCUCUGGACCUGCAUCGAGCCCACGCGCAGCGGCGAGAAGCAACUGUGCAUCACUCGGCGGCACAUGGAAAGACAAAGAACCAGAGCAAAGCACUGAGAAGGGACGCACCGGCUUAGGGAAGAAAAUUUUGUGAGGCCGGGUCUUUCACGUAGACCCCCGCCGCGCCGCGACACGUGCCCGUGCGCACGUAGGCCCGCAUGCGCGCGCCGUGCGAUCGAGCGUGCACGGCGCGGAUGGGGUCUCGCCGGGUCCUUCGCGCGCGGGCCUCAUAGAAGUUUCUUCCCCGGCUUAGUGCUUCGCACUGAAAUUAAUAUGUUGAAUAAUUAUUAGCUCUCAGCAGAUAUCUGAAUGUUUUUGUUCUGGUCAGAAAAGUAUCAUCAGCUGAGGUAAAUUUUUUAAAUCACUUCGUAGUUUGACCAACGUCAGAAGCAGAUGGUCCUUCCGACAAGUGAUUGAACUUUCUCAUCACAGAACCCGGAGAUGGACUUCUAGGGGGCGAAAAUAGCCUGAGGUUGUUGGAUCGAAGGUAGUCAACUGGUAGAAGGCGUUGGAUGGAGAAACUGUGCUUCGACCGUAGUAGUCAAUAUUGGUGUCAUGUGAAGUGUUCAUAUAUCAUGGAUGAUGGGUUGUUUAGCAUGGGGACACUUUAACAAGUUUUUGCAGUGCUAAUGUUUUUUCAAAGUUUAGAGUGUAUUUCAAAGUAUUGUAUAUAGGUUUUUCAUAGUGUCUUUCAGAUAUUUGUAUAUUUGUGUACAUAUGUUUUUCACAUAGUGUCAAUGUACAGUUGAGUGUAUUUCAGAAACAUGAACCAAGCCUUUGACUGA